rnacentral:rRNA from 1 species
AUUGAACGCUGGCGGCAGGCUUAACACAUGCAAGUCGAGCGAGCGGCGGACGGGUGAGUCAUGUCUGGGAAACUGCCUGAUGGAGGGGGAUAACUACUGGAAACGGUAGCUAAUACCGCAUACCAUUAGAUGCGCCCAGAUGGGAGUAGCUAGUAGGUGGGGUAAUGGCUCACCUAGGCGACGAUCCCUAGCUGGUCUGAGAGGAGGACCAGCCACACUGGAACUGGGACACGGACCAUACUACUACGGGAGGCAGCAGUGGGGAAUAUUGCACAAUGGGGGCAAGCAUGAUGCAGCCGUGACGCGUGUGUGAAGAAGGCCUUCGGGUUGUAAAGCACUUUCAGCGAGGAGGCGUUACUCGCAGAAGAAGCACCGGCUAACUCCGUGCCAGCAGCCGCGGUAAUAC